rnacentral:rRNA from 1 species
UACGUAGGGCGCAAGCGUUUAUCCGGAAUUAUUGGGCGUAAAGAGCUCGUAGGCGGUUUGUCGCGUCUGCCGUGAAAGUCCGGGGCUCAACUCCGGAUCUGCGGUGGGUACGGGCAGACUAGAGUGAUGUAGGGGAGACUGGAAUUCCUGGUGUAGCGGUGAAAUGCGCAGAUAUCAGGAGGAACACCGAUGGCGAAGGCAGGUCUCUGGACCUCUUCUGACGCUGAGGCGCGAAAGCUAGGGGAGCAAACGGG